rnacentral:ribozyme from 1 species
CCCUUUGGUAUACCCUGAACUCACAACCCGAUUGUCUAUAUCACACCUCUUCAAAGUGCGCAUCGACUCUCGAUCUGGGAAAAAAAUCAAGAUGAAGGUCGAUAAAGACGCAACAGAUG